rnacentral:rRNA from 1 species
GUGGGGAAUAUUGGACAAUGGGGGGAACCCUGAUCCAGCCAUGCCGCGUGUGUGAAGAAGGCCUUUUGGUUGUAAAGCACUUUAAGCGAGGAGGAGGCUCCUUUAGUUAAUACCUAAAGUGAGUGGACGUUACUCGCAGAAUAAGCACCGGCUAACUCUGUGCCAGCAGCCGCGGUAAUACAGAGGGUGCGAGCGUUAAUCGGAUUUACUGGGCGUAAAGCGUGCGUAGGCGGCUUUUUAAGUCGGAUGUGAAAUCCCUGAGCUUAACUUAGGAAUUGCAUUCGAUACUGGGAAGCUAGAGUAUGGGAGAGGAUGGUAGAAUUCCAGGUGUAGCGGUGAAAUGCGUAGAGAUCUGGAGGAAUACCGAUGGCGAAGGCAGCCAUCUGGCCUAAUACUGACGCUGAGGUACGAAAGCAUGGGGAGCAAACAGGAUUAGAAACCCGGGUAGUCC